ACGUCGAUGGUGUAGUUGAAGCACGUCUGAAUCUACUACAUAAUCUUGUAGCGUCCAUCAGUUGGCGUCAGUUCGAAUCUGGCUCGAGGUU